rnacentral:rRNA from 1 species
UACGUAGGGUGCAAGCGUUGUCCGGAAUUAUUGGGCGUAAAGAGCUCGUAGGCGGUUUGUCGCGUCUGCUGUGAAAACCCGAGGCUCAACCUCGGGCCUGCAGUGGGUACGGGCAGACUAGAGUGCGGUAGGGGGAGAAUGGAAUUCCUGGUGUAGCGGUGGAAUGCGCAGAUAUCAGGAGGAACACCAAUGGCGAAGGCAGCACUCUGGGACGGUACUGACGCUGAGGUGCGAAAGCGUGGGGAGCAAACAGG